AGAUACCCGGGUAGUCCUAGCCGUAAACGAUGAACACUGGGUUGAGGGGACUUCCACAUCCUCUCGGCCGUAGCGAAAGCGUUAAGUGUUCCGCCUGGGGAGUAUGGUCGCAAGGCUGAAACUCAAAGGAAUUGACGGGGGCUCACACAAGCGGUGGAGGAUGUGGCUUAAUUCGAGGCUACGCGAAGAACCUUAUCCUAGAUUUGACAUGCUUGAGAAUCCCUAUGAAAAUAGAGAGUGCCCUUCGGGGAGCUCUUGCACAGGUGCUGCAUGGCCGCCGUCAG
rnacentral:rRNA from 1 species